rnacentral:snRNA from 1 species
CGCCUCUGGUCUCUCUUCAAAAUUCAUAAAUCUUUCGCCUUUUACUAAAGAUUUCCCUGGAGAGGGACUACUUGAUGAGCCUAGCCCGAUGUAUAUUUGGUACAUUCCACGAAAAUAUGA